GACAGAGGAUGCAAGCGUUAUCCGGAAUGAUUGGGCGUAAAGCGUCUGUAGGUGGCUUUUUAAGUCCGCCGUCAAAUCCCAGGGCUCAACCCUGGACAGGCGGUGGAAACUACCAAGCUGGAGUACGGUAGGGGCGGGUGGAAUUCCGGGGUGUAGCGGUGGAAUGCGUAGAGAUCCGGAAGAACACCGGUGGCGAAGGCGGCCCGCUGG
rnacentral:rRNA from 1 species